rnacentral:rRNA from 1 species
AUUGAACGCUGGCGGCAUGCUUUACACAUGCAAGUCGAACGAGUGGCGAACGGGUGAGUAAUAUAUCGGAACGUACCGAGUAAUGGGGGAUAACCCAUCGAAAGAUUGGCUAAUCCCGCCUAUUAUUCGAGCGGCCGAUAACUGCGUCGCUAGUUGGUGGGGUAAAGACCUACCAAGGCGACGCUCAGUAGCGGGUCUUAGAGGCCGAUCCUCAACACUGGGACUUAGCCACGGCCCAGACUCCUACGGGAGGCAGCAGUGGGGAAGUUUGGACAAUGGGGGCAACCCUGAUCCAGCCAUGCCGCGUGUAUGAAGAAGGCCUUCGGGUUGUAAAGUACUUUUGUUAGGGAAGCGGUACCUAAAGAAUAAGCACCGGCUAACUACGUGCCAGCAGCCGCGGUAAUAC